rnacentral:rRNA from 1 species
AUUGAACGCUGGCGGCGUGCCUAACACAUGCAAGUCGAGCGGUAACAGGUGUAGCAAUACAUGCUGACGAGCGGCGAACGGGUGAGUAAUGCUUCGGAAUCUACCCAUGUAGUGGGGAAUAACCAGCCGAAAGGUUGGCUAAUACCGCAUACGACCUACGGGUGAAAGCAGGGGAUCGCAAGACCUUGCGCUAUUGGAUGAGCCGAAGUCGGAUUAGCUAGNGGUGAGGUAACGGCUCACCAAGGCGACGAUCCGUAGCUGGUCUGAGAGGACGACCAGCCACACUGGGACUGAGACACGGCCCAGACUCCUACGGGAGGCAGCAGUGGGAAUAUUGGACAAUGGGGGCAACCCUGAUCCAGCGACGCCGCGUGUGUGAAGAAGGCC